CGAAAGCCUGACGGAGCAAGACCGCGUGAGGGAGGAAGGCUCUUGGGUUGUAAACCUCUUUUCUCAGGGAAGAACAAAAUGACGGUACCUGAGGAAUCAGCCUCGGCUAACUCCGUGCCAGCAGCCGCGGUAAUACGGAGGAGGCAAGCGUUAUCCGGAAUUAUUGGGCGUAAAGCGUCCGCAGGUGGUACCUCAAGUCUGCUGUCAAAGACCGGGGCUUAACCCCAGAAAGGCAGUUGAAACUGAAGUGCUAGAGGGCAGUAGGGGUAGAGGGAAUUCCCGGUGUAGCGGUGAAAUGCGUAGAGAUCGGGAAGAACAUCGGUGGCGAAAGCGCUCUGCUGGACUGCAACUGACACUCAGGGACGAAAGCUAGGGGAGCG
rnacentral:rRNA from 1 species